GGGCUAUGAAAGGCUGUACAAUUUAACCGCUGAUGUUGCAGCCGUUGCCGCCUUUCUGUUGGGGACCUGGCCUAGUCUGCUACUCAGUGAUCUUUGGGGCUCUUCAGAGGUAAUCGGGAGUUGGCCAAGGUGUAGAAUGCAGAGAACAGGGAAAGGAGACCUCCUUGGUGAAUAAAGCAUGGAUUCUCUCCAGUGCGAGAAAAACAAUGACACAUAUAAAAAGCAACAACUCAGAAAAAAAAAUACCUUUCUUCGUGAAAAGUAGAUCCCCAGGAAUCCCAAAUUCAAAUGCUGAAACCUUAAGAGUUCUAAGAUAUUUGCCUCUGGAAUGGAAAGAUGUGCGAUCAUGAGAAAUGGGGGUAAGAUAGAAAAAUUGUCACUUUUUGAUUAUUAUGAAGUUUAGUUUUAAAGUUAAUUUCUAGAAGAUCGGGCACACCUAAAAGAAAAAAAAAAAGAUCAACUCCAAAGCCAGUGACAAAUGGAAA